rnacentral:rRNA from 1 species
GAGACCGGUGCACGGGUGCGUAACGCGUAUGCAACCUGCCUCUUGCAGGGGAAUAGCCCAGGGAAACUUGGAUUAAUGCCCCAUAGUCCAUAUUGAUGGCAUUUGAAGUAUGGUAAAGAUUUAUCGGCAAGGGAUGGGCAUGCGUCCCAUUAGCUAGUUGGUGUGGUAACGGCAUACCAAGGCUACGAUGGGUAGGGGCCCUGAGAGGGGGAUCCCCCACACUGGUACUGAGACACGGACCAGACUCCUACGGGAGGCAGCAGUGAGGAAUAUUGGACAAUGGGCGGGAGCCUGAUCCAGCCAUGCCGCGUGCAGGAAGACUGCCCUAUGGGUUGUAAACUGCUUUUUUACGGGAAGAAACACCCCCACGUGUGGGGGCUUGACGGUACCGUACGAAUAAGGACCGGCUAACUCCGUGCCAGCAGCCGCGGUAAUACGGAGGGUCCGAGCGUUAUCCGGAAUCAUUGGGUUUAAAGGGUCCGUAGGCGGGCGUCUAAGUCAGUGGUGAAAUUCUGCAGCUCAACUGUAGGACUGCCAUUGAUACUGGUCGCCUUGAAUUAGUGUGAAGUGGCUAGAAUAUGUAGUGUAGCGGUGAAAUGCUUAGAUAUUACAUAGAAUACCGAUUGCGAAGGCAGGUCACUAACACUAUAUUGACGCUGAUGGACGAAAGCGUGGGGAGCGAACAGGAUUAGAUACCCUGGUAGUCCACGCCGUAAACGAUGGAUACUAGCUGUCCGGCCUGCAUUGGUAGGCUGGGUGGCCAAGCGAAAGUGAUAAGUAUCCCACCUGGGGAGUACGUUCGCAAGAAUGAAACUCAAAGGAAUUGACGGGGGCCCGCACAAGCGGUGGCGCAUGUGGUUUAAUUCGAUGAUACGCGAGGAACCUUACCAGGGCUUAAAUGUAGUCUGACAGGGGUGGAAACGCCCCCUUCUUCCGACAGACUGCAAGGUGCUGCAUGAUGUCGUCAGCUCGUGCCGUGAGUGUCAGAUA